AUCCCCAACCAUAGUGGGCUUGGAGCUGUGAGGGAAUUCGGAGUGGCCACCCGUUCUGAAAGUUUGAUUUUCUUCUGGUGAACUGGACAUCCUUUUAAUUACGUUUGAGGUUUUGGGCUUUUAAAUGUAAUAAGGCCGCUUAUUUAUUUUUGAUGGUUUUUAUAUGUUUUAUUAAGAUAGGUAAUAUUUAUAUUUAACUGUUGAAAUUGGAUAGCUUUAGGGCGUGUUUUUAAAAACAGUAAUUGUUUUCAAAAUAACACGAAAACAAGCAAAGCUUCCGCAAUGAAGAUAUUUUCCAAAAUUAAUCACUUUUCCUAAAAAGGACUUAAUCAAA